UACGGAGGAUGCGAGCGUUAUCCGGAUUUAUUGGGUUUAAAGGGUGCGUAGGCGGGCUUUUAAGUCAGCGGUAAAAAUUCGGGGCUCAACCCCGUCCGGCCGUUGAAACUGGGGGCCUUGAGUGGGCGAGAAGAAGGCGGAAUGCGUGGUGUAGCGGUGAAAUGCAUAAAUAUCACGCAGAACCCCGAUUGCGAAGGCAGCCUUCCGGCGCCCUACUGACGCUGAGGCACGAAAGUGCGGGGAUCGAACAGG
rnacentral:rRNA from 1 species